rnacentral:rRNA from 1 species
ACUCCUACGGGAGGCAGAGUGGGGAAUUUUGCGCAAUGGGGGAAACCCUGACGCAGCAACGCCGCGUGGGUGAUGAAGGCCUUCGGGUCGUAAAGCUCUGUCUGGAGGGAAGAAAUGAUUGGGAGCUAAUACCUCUUGACCUUGACGGUACCUCUGAAGGAAGCACCGGCUAACUCCGUGCCAGCAGCCGCGGUAAU